rnacentral:rRNA from 1 species
AACCAGCACCUCAAGUGGUCAGGAUGAUUAUUGGGCCUAAAGCAUCCGUAGCCGGCUCUGUAAGUUUUCGGUUAAAUCUGUACGCUCAACGUACAGGCUGCCGGGAAUACUGCAGAGCUAGGGAGUGGGAGAGGUAGACGGUACUCGGUAGGAAGGGGUAAAAUCCUUUGAUCUAUUGAUGACCACCUGUGGCGAAGGCGGCUCACUGGCUCGAUACUGACGCUGAGGUGCGAAAGUGUGGGGAGCAAACAGG